rnacentral:rRNA from 1 species
UACGGGGGGAGCAAGCGUUGUUCGGAUUUACUGGGCGUAAAGGGCGCGUAGGCGGUCAGCACAAGUCAGUUGUGAAAUCUCCGGGCUUAACUCGGAAAGGUCAACUGAUACUGUGCGACUAGAGUGCGGAAGGGGCAACUGGAAUUCUCGGUGUAGCGGUGAAAUGCGUUGAUAUCGACAGGAACGCCGAUGGCGAAAGCAGAAUGCUGGUCCUUUACUGACGCUGAGGCGCGAAAGCCAGGGGAGCAAACGGG